rnacentral:rRNA from 1 species
GGCAGCCUACGGGGGGCAGCAGUGGGGAAUAUUGCACAAUGGGGGAAACCCUGAUGCAGCGACGCCGCGUGAAGGAAGAAGUAUUUCGGUAUGUAAACUUCUAUCAGCAGGGAAGAAAAUGACGGUACCUGACUAAGAAGCCCCGGCUAACUACGUGCCAGCAGCCGCGGAAAUACGUAGGGGGCAAGCGUUAUCCGGAUUUACUGGGUGUAAAGGGAGCGUAGACGGCCGUGCAAGUCUGAUGUGA